rnacentral:rRNA from 1 species
AAAUUUUAUCUUACUUUUCUACUUUUUUUAUUUUGAGAAAUAUCUUUUUGUUUAGUAUAUUAGGGAAAAAUGCUUGUUUGUUAUAGUGAAUUAGUACUGUGAAGGAAUUGAUGAAAUAAUUUAAAAUUAAAUUUUUUGUAAGUAUACUUAAUUUGUAGUACCUUUUGUAUCAGGGUGAUUAAAUAAAUUUAAUUUAUAUUUGUAUCUCGAUUUCAGAAGAGCUAGAUUGCAUUUUAGUUCUGUAGCAUAAUCAUUAAUCAUACAUUUUAGUAGAGAAAUUUUAUUCGUUUUUGAAGGUAUCUAGUUUUUUAAGAAUUAAAUUGAAUUUAAUUUUACUACUUAAAUAUUAUAUUAUUAUAUAAUUUAUUUGGUAAAUUAAAAAUUAUAGGGGAUAAGCUCUAUAUUCUUCUAUAAAACUUUUGUGAAUAGAUUUUGGUAGGUUUAAGAUUAUCCAUCAUUAGUAAUUGUGUUAUAAUUUAUAUCUAUUAUUAAUUAAUUUUAUUAUUUUUAGUUUUCUAUUAAAAUACCACAAUUAAUUUUAUAUUUUGGGAAAAAAUGAUUAAAUUAGUAUAAGAAAAUGUUUAUAUUAUUAUAAAUUUUAUGAUAAAAUAAGGAACUCGGCAAAUAUAGUUCCCGCCUGUUUAACAAAAACAUGUCCUUUUGAAUUUAAUUUAAGGUCUGACCUGCCCAGUGAAAAUUUAACGGCCGCGGUAUACUGACCGUGCAAAGGUAGCAUAAUCAUUAGUCUUUUAAUAGAGGGCUGGAAUGAAUGGUUUCACGAGGAAUUGACUGUCUCAUUUUAUUUGUUUUAAAAUUUAAUUUUUUAGUUAAAAAGCUAAAAUUCCAUUGGAAGACGAGAAGACCCUAUAGAUCUUUAUGUAGAUUUUUAUUUAUUUAUUUAUUAACAUAACUAUAAUAAAUCUAUAUUUUGUUGGGGUGACAAAAAUAUAUAAUAAACUUUUUCAUUUAUUUGCCAUUGAUAUAUGAUUAUGUGAUCCAUUAUUAGUGAUUAAUAGAAUAAGUUACCUUAGGGAUAACAGCGUAAUCCUCCUCCAGAGUCCAUAUUUACAGGAGGGCUUGCGACCUCGAUGUUGGAUUAAGAUAAUAAUUAGGUGUAGCCGCUUAAUUUAUAGGUCUGUUCGACCUUUAAAUUCUUACAU